UACGUAGGGUGCAAGCGUUGUCCGGAAUUAUUGGGCGUAAAGAGCUCGUAGGCGGUCUGUCGCGUCGGCUGUGAAAACCUGGGGCUUAACCCCGGGCCUGCAGCCGAUACGGGCAGACUAGAGUUCGGCAGGGGAGACUGGAAUUCCUGGUGUAGCGGUGAAAUGCGCAGAUAUCAGGAGGAACACCGAUGGCGAAGGCAGCUCGCUGGGACGGUACUGACGCUGAGGCGCGAAAGCGUGGGGAGCAAACAGG
rnacentral:rRNA from 1 species